rnacentral:tRNA from 1 species
GUCCAGGUGGCGGAAUUGGUAGACGCGCUACUUUGAGGGGGUAGUGGCCGGUAGGCUGUGUGAGUUCGAGUCUCAUCUUGGACACCA